CUCUGAGUGAGAAGUCUACAGUUUUUGCAGCGGACACCGUGAAGACAGUAGUGAUACCGUUAGUGAUACCGUUAGUGAUACCGUUAGUGAAUAAAUGAAGUGAACACUGAAGCCAUUGUGUGAGGUUAGAGCCGGAGUUUCCAUUUUUGCUCGCUGUUGUUGUUGGAGUUAUUCGUUUAGAACAGAGGUCUUUAUUUUUCCCGCGUAUCGUUAAAUGCAUUUGUUAGCGCGCGGAAUAGAUAGAUAGAUAGAUAGAUAGAUAGAUAGAUAGAUAGAUAGAUAGAUACUUUAUUCAUCCCAAAGGGAAAUUAACUGAACUGACAGAGAGUGUGUAAUAUUUUCUCAGACAUUUUGCUUUUUUCUGAAGACUGUGCAUCGCCUGUGAUCCGUUUGGUUUUGUGAGGAUUACUUUUCUUCCCAGGCCGAGUCAGUGGUCUGAUCAAGUCUCAGGUUUCCCCAGGACGCGCGGAGUUUGGCUCGGGUGUUGCUGCUGGUCUCCUGCCUUCCAGACGACAUCUCUCUGCUGCCUCGUCCCAACUGUUCACAUCAUCAUCAUCAUCAUCAUCACAAAUCAUCGCAAGACAUCUCAAGUCUCCUCAUCAGUUUCAUGGUCGCUACAGACUGGUCGUGACCUCGGACCCACGGACUUCGUCUUCACCCCGCGGCUCCACCUCUCCGAAGGAAGUCAUGCAGCAGCCUCCAACAGGUGCUGUCGUCGGACACAGCCCCGAAUUGAACCACCCACCAGGUGAAGGACGAGGCACCACGGACUAGUGCGUCUUCCAGAAGAGAAAAGAAGAGGGCGACAAUACGACUGCUGUAUCACGGUCUACUGAAUCUGGUGAGUUGUAUUGAUGAAAGGUAGGAACCUGUUGCUUUUUUAUUGUUUUCUUUUUAAUUGGAAAGGCUGUGUGAGAGUAGUGUCAAUUUUCUUGUAAGUUUAAAACUAGGGCAGCAUGGUGGCUUAGUGGUUAGCACUGUUACCCCACAGCAAGAAAGUUCGAAUCCCGGGUUCGAACAGGCGGGGGCCUUUCUGUGUGGAGUUUGCAUGUUCUCCCCAUGCCUGCAUGGGUUUACUCUGGGUACUCUGGUUUCCUCCCACAGUCCAAAAACAUGUACAUUAGGUUGAUUGGUAAUUAUAAAUUGCCCAUAGGGGUGAGUGUGUGUGUGUGUGUGUGUGGUUGUCUGUCUAUAUGUGACCCUGUGAUGGACUGGUGACCUGUCCAGGGUGUACCCCUGCCUUUCACCCAAUGUGUGCUGGGAUAGGCUCCAGCAGAUCCCCGUGAUCCUAAUUAGGAAUAAAAAGGGUGUAGAAAAUGGAUGGAUGGAAGUUAAACACUUUGUCAGACAAUUUUCACUGCUUAAAUUAGCUAACAUAGCUACCUUAUCACUUCUUGUGCUGUUUUUCAGAAGUGCAAAUUGUUGUUUUAACAAGUUUGACGGACAGUUUUAUGUUUGUCACCUGUAAGUUAGCUUAGCCAUCUUAUCACUCCAUGGCCAGUUUGUGAGCACUGAAAAACGGUGUUUUAACCAAUUCAAGACUUUUUCAUCUUUUAUGUUUUUUUUUUCUGGGGGACUAUAAUAAUGUGUAAUAUUAAAGUUCCAAGUUGCUAGACCAUAUUCAUUAUCAUAAUGUACAGUGAGGGAAAAAAUUAUUUGAUCCCCUGCUGAUUUUGUACGUUUGCCCACUGACAAAGAAAUGAUCAGUCUGUAAUUUUAAUGGUAGAAUAACAACAAAAAAAAUCUAGAAAAACGCAUUUCAGAAAAGUUCUACAUUGAUUUGUAUUUUAAUGAGUGAAAUAAGUAUUUGACCCCCUAUCAGUCAGAAAGAUUUCUGGCUCCCAGGUGUCUUUUAUACAGGUAAGGAGCUGAGAUUACAGUAGGAGCACUCUCGGGGAGUGCUCUUAAUCUCAGCUCAUUAACUGUAUGAAAGACACCUGUCCACAGAAGGAAGCAAUCAAUCAGAUUCCAAACUCUCCAUCAUGGUCAAGACCAAAGAGCUGUCCAUGGAUGUCAGGGACAAGAUUGUAGACCUACACAAGGCUGGAAUGAGCUACAAGACCAUCGCCAAGCAGCUUGGUGAGAAGGUGACAACAGUUGGUGCGAUUAUUCCCAAAUGGAAGAAACACAAAAGGACUUUGUCAAUGAUCUUCCUCGGUCUGGGGCUCCAUGCAAGAUCUCACCUCAUGGAGUUUCAAUGAUCAUGAGAACGGCGAGGAAUCAGCCCAGAAUUACACUGGAGGAUUUUGUCAGUGAUCUCAAGGCAGCUGGGACCACAGUCACCAAGAAAACAAUUGAUAACACACUACGCCAUGAAAGACUAAAAUCCAGUAGCACCCGCAAGGUCCCCCUGCUAAAGAAAGCACAUGUACAGGACCAUCUGAAGUUUACCAGUGAACAUCUAAAUGAUUCAGAGGAGAACUGGGUGAAAGUGUUGUGGUCCAAUGAGACCAAAAUCCAGCUCUUUGGCAUCAAUAAAUACAUAAAUUAUAACACAGAAACAUAUAGAAGUUCAUAUAUAAGUAUGAUGGAAAUAUAAAUAGGGCGCUUAUGUAGAGUAUUGCAUUGUGCCUAUAUACAUAUGUAUAUAUAGAUUAUUAUUGCACUGGGGGAGAUAGCAGACAGAUUAAUUGUUCAGGAAAUGAAUGGCUUGAGGGAAGAAGCUGUUCUUGUGUCUGGAUGUCCUGGCGUUUACUGCUCUGUAGCGCCAUCCGGAGGGUAAAAGUUCAAAGAGGGGGUGGGCCAGGUGUGUGGGGUCCAGAGUGAUUCUGCCUGCACGUUUCCUCAUUCUGGAUGUGUAAAGAAUGUCCUCAGCUCAACCCAUCCAGAGUGGGCAUCGUCUUGGAAGGGAGUGUGGUGAUGGAUGACCUGGCCAACCUGCCUCAGGCCUUCUAUGUCCUUUUUGGACUCAUGUAUGCCCUGCACCUGGACUACCCCAAGUGUGUGAAAAACACAUUCACCUUUAUUCAGCAGGUAAUGUUCAAGCUGGGUAAAGGUGAGCUGAAACUUCAGCUUUCAGUGUAAAAGAGGGUUCUGAAUAGUUAAAUUACAGCUCCACAUAUCAGUGAUUAGUUUAUAAUGCUACACUUUACAAAUAGUGUUUUAAAAUAGCAAACUGUUGUGCACUGUUUGCAGUGUGUGUUUUAUAGUAUGUUUCAUGGCUCAUUGGCAGUAGCAUCAGAACGGGAGCUUCUGUCUGUCUGUUUGUUCAAAGCCUAAUUUUGUCGAUUGGGUUUCCACACACUGAUAGUUCAGCAGACCAGAGAGUUUAGAGAGUGUACCCUAUCCAACCAGUUUUGAUAUGAUUUGUUGUGAUACUGAGAGAUGUUCACAGGUUAAAACACUAAUAAGUGCAUUUCUUAAAAUAGGCACGAUGUUGCUAGACAUUCGUGGGUUUUUUAUGUGAAAUGCGUUCUUAGGAUAUGAACCACACAACCUUUGCCAUUAAACCAUGUGGUCUAAAACCAGUAAUUCAAUAGCUGCCAGUAGCUCUCUGAUGUUUGUGAGUAGCUCACCAGGCACUCAUUCACUUGACAACAGAAUGCUAGUAGUUAAUGGAG